ACGAUAAAGGCAAAGCAGCCGAAAGGCUGUGACGCAAAGCUAUAGGGCCUAAGCCCGGUCUAGGUAUGGCAGCCAGUUACCGAA
rnacentral:ncRNA from 1 species